rnacentral:rRNA from 1 species
AGCUCCAAUAGCGUAUAUUAAAGUUGUUGCGAUUAAAAAGCUCGUAGUUGGAUCUCAGGUGUGGGCGGGCGGUCCGCCUCGCGGCGGUUACUGCUCGAAGUGGGCGGGUUCCUCGCGGUUCUCGUUCACGUCCCAUCCUAUCGUAUAUCCGGUUUCUCCAUCCAUGGUGCUCUUCACUGAGCGUUUUGGGUGGCCGGAACGUUUACUUUGAAGAAAUUAGAGUGUUCAAAGCAGGCUUGUACGCCUGAAUAAUGGUGCAUGGAAUAAUGGAAUAGGACCUCGGUUCUAUUUUGCUGGUUUUCGGAACACGAGGUAAUGAUUAAGAGGGACAGACGGGGGCAUCCGUAUUGCGGUGUUAGAGGUGAAAUUCUUGGAUCAUCGCAAGACGAACAACUGCGAAAGCAUUUGCCAAGCAUGUUUUCA